UACGGGGGGGGCAAGCGUUGUUCGGAAUUACUGGGCGUAAAGGGCUCGUAGGUGGCCAACUACGUCAGACGUGAAAUCCCUCGGCUUAACCGGGGAACUGCGUCUGAUACUGGAUGGCUUGAAUUCGGGAGAGGGAUGCGGAAUUCCAGGUGUAGCGGUGAAAUGCGUAGAUAUCUGGAGGAACACCGGUGGCGAAGGCGGCAUCCUGGACCGAGAUUGACGCUGAGGCGCGAAAGCCAGGGGAGCAAACGGG
rnacentral:rRNA from 1 species